CACCUUUUAUUUUAUUUUUUUUCUGUUAUUUGCAGCUCCUCUAAACCUGACUAGCAUAGAUCAUUUUUUGGAGCCAUCUUCUGCUUCAGUUUCUUACACUUGGAUCUUCGGCAAAUGUCGACUUUGCUUUGGAGCUUACAGCGCCAAUUGAGAGCACAGACUCCGCAGGUCCUCCUUUGGCCAGAUCCCUUGGAGGCCUCAUAUGUUGCAACAGCUGAUGGUGCAAGGAGAAUGCCAAUAUCGUCCUUUCACAUAUUACAACCAUUCUGGAACAUUUAAUUUCCAUCCAGAAGGGGAUCGUACUUUAGUCGCCUGACCAUAUUAUUCCUGAAAUGUCAAUAAAAAUUACAAUGUGGGUAUUUG